rnacentral:misc_RNA from 1 species
CUGGUCUCCUCCGAGGGGGGCAACGUGCACACCCGAGCUCACAACAAACCCCCAUGGGCUUUCGGGCCCGUGGAACCCCCCACAACACCCCGUCUUAUACAGAAUGUUUUUUUUUUUGAAUAGUACAUCGCCUUAAAAAAGUGAUGGAACCUUAUACAACUUUCAACAACGGAUCUCUUGGCUCUCGCAUCGAUUAAAAACGCAACGAAAUGCGAUAAGUAAUGUGAAUUGCAAAUUUUCAGUGAAUCAUCGAAUCUUUGAACGCACCUUGCGCCCCUUGGUAUUCCGAGGGGCAUGCCUGUUUGAGUGUCAUUAAAUCCUCAACCCCAUCGACCUCUGUCGUGUUUUGGGGCUUGGACUUGGGGCGUGCUGGCGAUCUACCUCGGCUCCCCUUUAAAUGCAUCAGUUGAAGGAGGAGCUCGAUCAUUUUCUCUCUUUUGUCGGGGGAUCAUGGACCGUUCGGUGUGAUA